AUCAUUUUAAUCAAAUAUCUUCUCUCUUUUUUUUUUUCAACUACCACUUUUACAUGUAUUUUCGAAAAGGGUUUAAAUGGGUUAUUAUUAUUAUUAUUAUUAUUAUUAUUAUUAUAAAUGAAAGUAAAAACGUAUGCUUGUGUGGUUGGACUUAAAGAGGGGAAAAAGGUAUAGCUUGAAAUGGAAAUAGUGGAAGAGAUGCUGACAACAUUUUGUGAUUGAUGGUUUGGUGAUAAACAGGAGGAGGAAAAUGAGGGUAGAAGAGAAAAGCAAGUCAAAGAAAUUAGGCAGGGCCAAGAACUCCAAAAAGACGUCUGCACACUGCACCAUCCUCUAAAAUCGCCCACCGAAUACCCUGAAUGCAAGGAACAAUGGAGGAGGCGUUCUAGCAUGAGCUCAGAAGCAGGCAAGGUUGAUGGCAAUAAAAGAAGCUGCAGAAGAGGGCACAUACAUUGUUGAUGAAUGUUUAUUCCUCUAAUUGGCAAAACAACUCAUGCUUCUUCUCUUUUUCACCCUAUGUCGUAUGUAUUUGCAGAAUAACAAAUUGAAAAAAUUGAACUUCUACUUGACAUGCUAUGAAAUUAUACAACCUAUUAUAGCUGGGAGAAAAGCAUCAAA